UACGGAGGGGGCUAGCGUUGUUCGGAAUUACUGGGCGUAAAGCGCACGUAGGCGGCUUUGUAAGUUAGAGGUGAAAGCCCGGAGCUCAACUCCGGAAUUGCCUUUAAGACUGCAUCGCUCGAAUCAUGGAGAGGUGAGUGGAAUUCCGAGGGUAGAGGUGAAAUUCGUAGAUAUUCGGAAGAACACCAGUGGCGAAGGCGACUCACUGGACAUGUAUUGACGCUGAGGUGCGAAAGCGUGGGGAGCAAACAGG
rnacentral:rRNA from 1 species